rnacentral:rRNA from 1 species
CCCUUAGAUGUUCGGGGCCGCACGCGCGCUACACUGAAGGAAUCAGCACGUCUUUCUCCUUGUCCGAAAGGACUGGGUAACCCGCUGAACCUCCUUCGUGCUAGGGAUUGGGGCUUGUAAUUCUUCCCCAUGAACGAGGAAUUCCCAGUAAGCGCGAGUCAUAAGCUCGCGUUGAUUACGUCCCUGCCCUUUGUACACACCGCCCGUCGCUACUACCGAUUUGAUGGUUUAGUGAGAUCCUCGGAUUGGUCCCGGAGCGGCCUCUGGUCGUGCCGGAGUGCCGAAAAGAAUGUCGAACUUGAUCAUCUAGAGGAAGUAAAAGUCGUAACA